rnacentral:tRNA from 1 species
GCUAGCGUAGCUUAACUAAAGCAUAACUCUGAAGAAGUUAAGAUAAACCUCAGAAGGGUUUCGCAGGCA